rnacentral:rRNA from 1 species
AACGUAGGUUCCGAGCGUUAUCCGGAUUUACUGGGCGUAAAGCGCGUUCAGGCGGUUUGGCAAGUCGGGCAUGAAAUCUCUCGGCUCAACCGGGAAAGGUUGUCCGAUACUGCUGGACUUGAGGGCAGUAGAGGGUGGUGGAAUUCCGGGUGUAGUGGUGAAAUGCGUAGAUAUCCGGAGGAACACCAGUGGCGAAAGCGGCCACCUGGACUGUACCUGACGCUGACACGCGAAAGCUAGGGGAGCGAACGGG